UACGAAGGGGGCUAGCGUUGCUCGGAAUCACUGGGCGUAAAGCGCACGUAGGCGGAUCUUUAAGUCAGGGGUGAAAUCCCAAGGCUCAACCUUGGAAUUGCCUUUGAGACUGAGUGGCUUGAGUACGAGAGAGGUGAGUGGAAUUCCCAGUGUAGAGGUGAAAUUCGUAGAUAUUGGGAAGAACACCGGUAGCGAAGGCGGCUCACUGGCUCGUAACUGACGCUCAUGCACGACAGCGUGGGGAUCAAACAGG
rnacentral:rRNA from 1 species